rnacentral:rRNA from 1 species
UGCGGCGGCCUACACAUGCAGUCGAACGGUAGCACAGAGAGCUUGCUCUCGGGUGACGAGUGGCGGACGGGUGAGUAAUGUCUGGGAAACUGCCUGAUGGAGGGGGAUAACUACUGGAAACGGUAGCUAAUACCGCAUAACGUCGCAAGACCAAAGAGGGGGACCUUCGGGCCUCUUGCCAUCAGAUGUGCCCAGAUGGGAUUAGCUAGUAGGUGGGGUAACGGCUCACCUAGGCGACGAUCCCUAGCUGGUCUGAGAGGAUGACCAGCCACACUGGAACUGAGACACGGUCCAGACUCCUACGGGAGGCAGCAGUGGGGAAUAUUGCACAAUGGGCGCAAGCCUGAUGCAGCCAUGCCGCGUGUAUGAAGAAGGCCUUCGGGUUGUAAAGUACUUUCAGCGGGGAGGAAGGUGUUGUGGUUAAUAACCACAGCAAUUGACGUUACCCGCAGAAGAAGCACCGGCUAACUCCGUGCCAGCAGCCGCGGUAAUACGGAGGGUGCAAGCGUUAAUCGGAAUUACUGGGCGUAAAGCGCACGCAGGCGGUCUGUCAAGUCGGAUGUGAAAUCCCCGGGCUCAACCUGGGAACUGCAUUCGAAACUGGCAGGCUGGAGUCUUGUAGAGGGGGGUAGAAUUCCAGGUGUAGCGGUGAAAUGCGUAGAGAUCUGGAGGAAUACCGGUGGCGAAGGCGGCCCCCUGGACAAAGACUGACGCUCAGGUGCGAAAGCGUGGGGAGCAAACAGGAUUAG